UACCAUAUCAACUUUAAUUUCCUUAUUUGC
rnacentral:piRNA from 1 species